rnacentral:rRNA from 1 species
GUAAAGGCAAAAGAGAGCUUGAUUGCAAGACAUACAGGUCGAGCAAGGAUGAAAAUCGGACUUAGUGAUCCGGUGGUUCUGCGUGGAAGGGCCAUCGCUCAACGGAUAAAAGCUACCCUGGGGAUAACAGGCUUAUCUCCCCCAAGAGUCCACAUCGACGGGGAGGUUUGGCACCUCGAUGUCGGCUCAUCACAUCCUGGGGCUGUAGUAGGUCCCAAGGGUUGGGCUGUUCGCCCAUUAAAGUGGUACGCGAGCUGGGUUCAGAACGUCGUGAGACAGUUCGGUCCCUAUCCGUCGCAGGCGUAGGAAAUUUGAGAAGACCUGUCCUUAGUACGAGAGGACCGGGAUGGACGUACCUCUGGUGUACCAGUUGUCCUGCCAAGGGCAUGGCUGGGUAGCUAUGUACGGAAUGGAUAAGCGCUGAAAGCAUCUAAGCGCGAAGCCAACUUCAAGAUAAGAUUUCCCACCGCAAGGGUAAGACCCCAGAAAGACUAUCUGGUUGAUAGGUCGAAGGUGUAAGUGCAGCAAUGUAUUUAGCUUAUCGAUACUAAUAGGUCGAGGACUUGACCAA